rnacentral:lncRNA from 1 species
AUGGACUCUCCCCACCUCCUGCACUUGGGUUUCCUGCUCCUGGCUCUUGCUGCUCCAAGUAUUGCCAUGCCCACUGUUGACCCUGCUGAAGGGAGAGAAGACCCUUCCUCUGACAGCACAACUGUGACAGUCUACCACUGUAAGGACUACAAGAGCUGCACAUGCAAGUCUAGAGAAAAUAAUUUUAAAAACUUUAAAAUAAUCGCUGAAACACAAAACAAGACAUUUUCAGAUGUACUAAUUGAGCUGGUGACCAAUGAAACACACAUGACUGUUUGCUUUGAGCAAGAAAAUUCCUGUCUUGAAGGAAUUUAUGGCGUCUUCUGGCAGAAAUCUGGGGGAGCAGGACUCUCCUGUGGCAUUCUGAAUUAUGGAGAAAAUGGAAGAGGUAACAUCAGUACUGAGGAGAAGAAUAUUUGCUGUGAAGCAGAGACAAAUAUCUGGAGACACAACCCUACCCUGAGGUGCUACACUCAAAAGUCACAUUCAAAACUCAUCACACUGCCAGUUGAGUCUCCUGGUAAUCCUGAACUUCUCACCAGCAGCAAGAAGACCAGCAUUGGCAUCUUGCUCUCAUUCCUGUUUGUUGGCGUUUGUGCAGGAUGUGCUGUCACGUAUUACUUCCUGCGGCGGCGGCGCGGCCAAGGAAAGGAACUGAGCUAUCAGUGUUGCAUCCUGACAAGAAGGAAUUUCCUCACUGCUUUCUCCUGA